AACGAACGCUGGCGGCAGGCCUAACACAUGCAAGUCGAGCGAGGACUUCGGUUCUAGCGGCGGACGGGUGAGUAACGCGUGGGAAUGUGCCCUUCUCUACGGAAUAGCCCUGGGAAACUGGGAGUAAUACCGUAUACACCCUAUUGGGGAAAGAUUUAUCGGAGAAGGAUCAGCCCGCGUUGGAUUAGGUAGUUGGUGGGGUAAUGGCCUACCAAGCCGACGAUCCAUAGCUGGUUUGAGAGGAUGAUCAGCCACACUGGGACUGAGACACGGCCCAGACUCCUACGGGAGGCAGCAGUGGGGAAUCUUAGACAAUGGGGGCAACCCUGAUCGAGCCAUGCCGCGUGAGUGAUGAAGGCCUUAGGGUUGUAAAGCUCUUUCAGCUGGGAAGAUAAUGACGGUACCAGCAGAAGAAGCCCCGGCUAACUCCGUG
rnacentral:rRNA from 1 species